rnacentral:ncRNA from 1 species
AGCGAUGCAAUGAGAGGACUCUAGUAGCAAGCAUCUCCCUGUUAUAGAGAGCUGAUGGACGGUGUAAAUCAGUACAAAGAUGUGAGCAAAAUACACUCCUUGAGCACUCUGUAAAGAGCGGUCGACUGAUCGUUAAACAAUGAAGGUGGUAAGUAAGAAUAGCUUGCAACUAGGGUGGUAUCGCGAGAAUAAGCUCGUCCCUAUC